rnacentral:rRNA from 1 species
AUUGAACGCUGGCGGCAUGCCUUACACAUGCAAGUCGAACGGCAGCACGGGGGGUAACCCCUGGUGGCGAGUGGCGAACGGGUGAGUAAUACAUCGGAACGUAUCCUGUAGCGGGGGAUAACCUCUCGAAAGAGAGGCUAAUACCGCAUACGACCUACGGGUGAAAGGAGGGGAUCGCAAGACCUCUCACUAUUGGAGCGGCCGAUGUCGGAUUAGCUAGUUGGUAGGGGUAAAAGCCACCAAGGCUACGAUCCGUAGCUGGUCUGAGAGGACCGACCAGCCACACUGGAACUGAGACACGGUCCAGACUCCGUACGGGAGGCAGCA